UCUACGGGAGGCAGCAGGCGUAGUGCAACAGUUGCGUACCGACGUGAUGGAUGCCGCAUUGCGCCAGCCAUUAAGCGAGUUUGAUACCCAACCCGUCGGGCAGGUGAUUUCCCGCGUCACUAAUGACACUGAAGUGAUCCGCGAUCUCUACGUUACCGUAGUGGCGACUGUCCUGCGUAGCGCCGCACUGGUGGGCGCGAUGCUGGUGGCGAUGUUCAGCCUCGACUGGCGAAUGGCGCUGGUGGCGAUAAUGAUUUUCCCGGUGGUGCUGGUGGUAAUGGUGAUAUACCAGCGUUACAGCACGCCGAUUGUCCGUCGUGUGCGCGCCUAUCUAGCGGAUAUCAACGACGGCUUUAACGAAAUCAUCAAUGGCAUGAGCGUUAUCCAGCAGUUCCGUCAGCAGGCGCGAUUUGGCGAACGUAUGGGGGAGGCCAGUCGUUCACACUAUAUGGCCAGGAUGCAAACCCUGCGCCUCGACGGUUUUCUGCUGCGUCCCGUAGA
rnacentral:rRNA from 1 species